GCGAGGCGGAUGGGCUUGCCCAUCCAGUCGAGCGGCGAACGGGUGAGUAACGCGUGGAUAUCUACCCUUUGGUGGGGGAUAACCCGGGGAAACUCGGGCUAAUACCGCAUGACACCGUGAGGUCAAAGGGGGCCGCAAGGCUCCCGCCGGAGGAUGAGUCUGCGUCCGAUUAGCUAGUUGGUGAGGUAAUGGCUCACCAAGGCGACGAUCGGUAGCCGGCCUGAGAGGGUGAUCGGCCACACUGGAACUGAGACACGGUCCAGACUCCUACGGGAGGCAGCAGUGGGGAAUUUUGCGCAAUGGGGGAAACCCUGACGCAGCAACGCCGCGUGGAGGAUGAAGGUUUUCGGAUUGUAAACUCCUGUCAGUGGGGAAAAAGCGAGCUGACCUAAUACGUCAGUGAGUUGAUUGUACCCGCAGAGGAAGCCCCGGCUAACUCUGUGCCAGCAGCCGCGGUAAUACAGAGGGGGCAAGCGUUAUUCGGAAUUAUUGGGCGUAAAGGGCGCGCAGGCGGCCGCUCAAGUGGAAGGUGAAAUCCCCCGGCUCAACCGGGGAACUGCCUUCCAAACUGAGUGGCUUGAGUCCGGGAGAGGUGAGUGGAAUUCCCAGUGUAGCGGUGA
rnacentral:rRNA from 1 species